AACGAACGCUGGCGGCAUGCCUAACACAUGCAAGUCGAACGAGACCUUCGGGUCUAGUGGCGCACGGGUGCGUAACGCGUGGGAACCUGCCCUUAGGUUCGGAAUAACUCCCCGAAAGGGGUGCUAAUACCGGAUAAUGUCUUCGGACCAAAGAUUUAUCGCCUUUGGAUGGGCCCGCGUUGGAUUAGCUAGUUGGUAGGGUAAAAGCCUACCAAGGCGACGAUCCAUAGCUGGUCUGAGAGGAUGAUCAGCCACACUGGGACUGAGACACGGCCCAGACUCCUACGGGAGGCAGCAGUGGGGAAUAUUGGACAAUGGGCGAAAGCCUGAUCCAGCAAUGCCGCGUGAGUGAUGAAGGCCUUAGGGUUGUAAAGCUCUUUUACCCGGGAUGAUAAUGACAGUACCGGGAGAGUAAGCUCCGGCUAACUCCGUG
rnacentral:rRNA from 1 species